rnacentral:rRNA from 1 species
AUUGAACGCUGGCGGCAUGCCUUACACAUGCAAGUCGAACGGCAGCAUGAUCUAGCUUGCUAGAUUGAUGGCGAGUGGCGAACGGGUGAGUAAUACAUCGGAACGUGCCCUGUAGUGGGGGAUAACUAGUCGAAAGAUUAGCUAAUACCGCAUACGACCCGAGGGUGAAAGGGGGGGACCGCAAGGCCUCAUGCCAUAGGAGCGGCCGAUUUCUGAUUAGCGAGUUGGGGAGGUAAAGGCUCACCAAGGCGACGGUCAGUGGCUGGUCUGAGAGGACGAUCAGCCACACUGGGACUGAGACACGGCCCAGACUCCUACGGGAGGCAGCAGUGGGGAAUUUUGGACAAUGGGGGCAACCCUGAUCCAGCAAUGCCGCGUGUGUGAAGAAGGCCUUCGGGUUGUAAAGCACUUUUGUCCGGAAAGAAAUCGCACUUACUAAUAUUAGGUGUGGAUGACGGUACCGGAAGAAUAAGGACCGGCUAACUACGUGCCAGCAGCCGCCGUAAGAC